AUGUGUUGCUGCUGUCACGUGUCUGCGAUUCAAUCUCGUCUCAUUCCGUUUUUUUUUCUUUUUCCACUCGCUCCUUUCACCACCACACUUCACACUUCUACAUGCUAUAGUUCUUAUCUUUCAAUUCUCUUUUCUCUUCUUCUUCUCCACCAAACUUUUCGCUUCGUCUCUCUCUUAUCGGAUCAUCAUUUGAAGAUUUGA